rnacentral:lncRNA from 1 species
UUCUUUUCUGGGCCUAGCCCGCACGCCUCUUCUUCUUCCUCCUCCCUUCACGCCGCUCACGCCUUCUGCAAAAAAAGGAAGAGCGACGGAGGUACAAAGACAGGGGAGCAGCAGGUCGCAGCGUGAUCCUACGGUUGGGGAUCAGGCCGGCCGCGACAGGCUGGUGGCAGAAGCCAUUUGCACCUGUCGCUGGCCAAGCUUAAAAGAAAGAGAGCAGUUUUCUGGGGGGUCUUUUUUGGAUUCACAGAGAGUGAGCCAGGGGGAGAGGGAGCUCGAGAAGGUGGCCGGCUGUCGUGGGAGGUCCGUGCACCAGCCCCCGUCCGCCGCGGCGUUUCCGUGAACCAGGUCUUACCCCCAAGCGUAGGUGCCUUGUUUGUUUGUUUGUUUUUUUCUCUUUUGGGGGGCCUCGGGCCGGAGCUCGCGGCCAACGAAGCCCGCGUGUUUCGGUCCCAUUGGUCCUUUGUGAAACCUACUGUGUGAUCGAGUAUGCAUGUUAGGAAGUUGGGUCUGUGUCCGAAUCCCCAACGAGUUCGAAAUCC